UACAGAGGUCUCAAGCGUUGUCCGGAAUUAUUGGGCGUAAAGAGCUCGUAGGCGGUUUGUCGCGUCGAAUGUGAAAACCCGGGGCUCAACCCCGGGCCUGCAUUCGAUACGGGCAGACUAGAGUUCGGUAGGGGAGUCUGGAAUUCCUGGUGUAGCGGUGAAAUGCGCAGAUAUCAGGAGGAACACCGGUGGCGAAGGCGGGACUCUGGGCCGAUACUGACGCUGAGGAGCGAAAGCGUGGGGAGCAAACAGG
rnacentral:rRNA from 1 species